AAAAUUAAAAUAUGUUAUCUAUAAAGCAAUGUGACUCACACAGAUUUUCCAAGAUAAGUUGGGAAGCUAAAAGUUAAUGAAACAAAACCUUCAAAGUUCUAAAAAAUUAUUUUUCGCCUUAAAAUCUAAAAUCCAACACUCUAUCAAACCAUUUAUAAGUAUGAGGAAAGAAAAUAAAUGUUUUCUGACCUGCAACAAUCAGAAAAUUUACUUCCCACGUACUCUGUUAUAGGUAGCUACCUUUGGAUGCGUUCUAGCAAAAUCUACGAGUAAACCAAGAAAUAAGGAGGAUAUGGGAACCAGGAAAAUGUGAGUUUAACCCAGAACAUCAGUUCAAGCAAAAUUGCAAGGUUGCCAGCGGAAGAGAAAAUGAGAGGGGGCUCAAACAAGAAAAGCAUGAUGAUAAAACUGACAACGCAAGGAUGCUAACUGGCUGACGACCAUGCCAGCAGAGAAAAGAUAGAAGCUAAUUAAAGAAACUAUUAUGAUCACCAUUCUGCAUGGAUUCCAGGACAGAAGGAAAGGCAAACAGUUCUGCGAGUGCAGUGACUAACAGCUGUUCACACCAGAUCUCAGUUUGGGAGAAAAUAACAAGUGGAGGGGCCUGUGGAGAACCGGCAUCCAUACCAUCUAGAGAGGGUAGCUGUUACUCAGCUCAGGUGAGCCCAGUCUUACUCCAUUUUCUGACGUUUAAAGAGAAGCCCCAAAUCUGGAUUUUUUUUAAGUUAAAUCUCCAGAUUUUUAAAUAUCAGCUGAAAAUUUCAGAAGUCAGAACGUGGAGGAGGAAAAAUAAAACAAAUUUGCCUGUGAAAUCUCGUCCA
rnacentral:lncRNA from 1 species